rnacentral:sRNA from 1 species
GCCUGGCAGAGCCUGAAGCGGAGGGGAGCUGGUGUGUGGCCUGCAUUUCUGUCUGUUCCCCUUUGCUGUGAGAAACACAAGGGCCUCAAGCCACUUGGAAAGGAACUCAUUUAUUUCACCGUAAGUUCUCAUCCAUCAUGAAGGGGAGUCAGGUCAGGAACUGAAGGAUCUGGAGGCAGGGACCAAGAAGAAGACUCACUACAGUGGCUUGCUUCUUAUGGCUUGCCCAGUCCCAAGGGGCGGUACCACCCGAAGCAGGCCUGGCCCUCCCACAUCAAGUCUUUAUCAAGAAAAGGACCUACAGACUUGUUUACAAGCCAUCUGAUAGAGGAGCUUCCUCCCUUCCUCCCUGAUAACCCUUUCUUGAAUCAAAUCCACAAAAUAACUAAGACACUGUGGUUGCCUCUCUCAGAUUGCACAUGUCAUUGUCUCUUUGUCCGCUCCUCUGGAGCAGGGUCCACCCGCCCCUGGGACCACACCCUUAGUCUUGUGAUGAGGGGGUUUGUGAUGAGUUUCAGACUUCUGGAGUACUCAGAGAAGUCCUGCUGCUCCGUAGGGGUCCCGUCUUCCUCAGAGGCCACACCUGUGGCCAUGUGUGGAAUGCAGUAGGAGGUGAGCUUCACCAAACCAGAUCCAUUUGUGGAUGAAUCCAACUGGGCUACUUAAGGAGAGAAAUGACCCCUGGGAUAGUCUACUGCAACACUCAGUCUGAACAUCCAUAAAUGGUUUCCACGCCUACGUUUGCCACAGGGUCAUAGUCUCAUCUAGCGAUCAGUCAUUCUGGGAAUACAUCUACAGACAUGGAGGAAGAAGAAGGUGAAGCAGCCUGAAGGUCAGCAGGAGGCUUGGUCCCAACACAGUAUCCUUUUCAUGGUUUCUUAACUCAGAGAAGCCUGCUUAUGCCUGGCCAAUUCCAAGAUCUCGAAGGUGAGACUCACAUGUGUUGGUGAUGCUGGUGAUAGAGGGACUGACAAUUUGUGCUCUGGCUUUGCAGUGGGAACUCACUAAAGUCCUCAGAAGUGUCUUGUCCUGUGUAUCUCUAUAAUUCCAAAGGAAGUUAACCAAAGCAAACAUAU